CGUAGACUAGUCGCAGAAAAUGUACAAAAGCUCUCGGUUUUUUCCGGAACCACAUUCUGUGAAAGAACAAAGCAUUUUGUGACUCUUAGGGACGAUAGCCGGAACAAUAUGUCCGAUGGAUUGCAAAUGCAGCUUUGGCAUCAUCCUUCGAAAUGACAGGUGACCGGCGCUGAGAUAUUUUUUGUCUAUAAAGGGCGUACUAGCUUUCAAAGACAGUACAUUCAUUGGACAGUUUGAAGCACCAACCAUGACCCGUCUUCUGCUAGUCUCCGUGCUCGCGAUAUCAGUGGCCUGCGUCGGCGUCCUAUCAGCAGAACAUACUGUGGAGAAGUGGCUCCAACAGUUACAGCCCUUAUGACUACGGCAGCGGCGCAUACGGCAGCUACUGGGGAAGUGGUUCAGGCAGUUAUUAUCCCUUCCCUGGUGGCCUUGGAGGACUGAGCGUGUAUGGAAACGGAGGCAGCAGCAAUAGCUUUGGCUACGGCUCCAACUAUCCUUCGAACGUCUACUAUGGCCAAGGCAAUGGAUUCGGUGGUGGCUGGUACGGCCAACAGCAACAGGUGCAGUACUGGUAAUGUUAGUACUGUGAUGGCGUCGAUAAGAAAAGCUCUUGUAUAAUAAAGACAAACGCCAACUUGCUCGCUGAGACGGA